UACGGAGGGUGCAAGCGUUGUCCGGAAUCACUGGGCGUAAAGGGCGCGUAGGCGGCUCGGUAAGUAGGGGGUGAAAUCCUGCGGCUUAACCGCAGGGCUGCCUUCUAAACUGUCGAGCUCGAGCACGGUAGAGGCAGAUGGAAUUCCCGGUGUAGCGGUGGAAUGCGCAGAUAUCAGGAGGAACACCGGUGGCGAAGGCGGGUCUCUGGGCAGUGAACUGACGCUGGAGGAGCGAAAGCGUGGGGAGC
rnacentral:rRNA from 1 species